AUUGAACGCUGGCGGCAGGCCUAACACAUGCAAGUCGAGCGGUAACACAGGGAGCUUGCUCCCGGGCGACGAGCGGCGGACGGGUGAGUAAUGUCUGGGAAACUGCCUGAUGGAGGGGGAUAACUACUGGAAACGGUAGCUAAUACCGCAUAAUGUCGCAAGACCAAAGAGGGGGACCUUCGGGCCUCUUGCCAUCAGAUGUGCCCAGAUGGGAUUAGCUAGUAGGUGGGGUAACGGCUCACCUAGGCGACGAUCCCUAGCUGGUCUGAGAGGAUGACCAGCCACACUGGAACUGAGACACGGUCCAGACUCCUACGGGAGGCAGCAGUGGGGAAUAUUGCACAAUGGGCGCAAGCCUGAUGCAGCCAUGCCGCGUGUAUGAAGAAGGCCUUCGGGUUGUAAAGUACUUUCAGCGGGGAGGAAGGUGUUGAGGUUAAUAACCUCAGCAAUUGACGUUACCCGCAGAAGAAGCACCGGCUAACUCCGUGCCAGCCGCCGCCGUAA
rnacentral:rRNA from 1 species